AAACAAAAACUAGAUGACAGAUAUAGAGAUGAGUUAUAAAUAUAG
rnacentral:guide_RNA from 1 species